rnacentral:lncRNA from 1 species
CAUAAACAUAGAAAUCAUGAACCUGAAGGAGAUGAUCUUUAGAAACGAUGAAGAUUAGGUUAGAGUGAAAAAUGAAGAUAUAGAUACAAAGAUAGAUGAAGAUUAGGUUAGAGUAAAAGAGGAAGGAGAGGAACUAGGAAGUAUUAGGAAUGGAGGCUCAGACAUGAGAAAAAAAGAGCGCAGAGAAAGUAAUCUGAUUGAAGAGAUAAGGUGAAAAUUAGAGAGAUAAGAUGAACAUACCAGAGAGAUUGAAGUGAUAAAAACCGUUUCAGCACAGUCCUCGUCACCUCGAUCACGACACUCAACCCAAACAGGAGAAGACACAAAGUAGAAACGAACACAAACAUGCAACGAGAAAAAUUGUGAUGAAGGCAACAAAAGAAAUGUAAGUGCUUAGGAAAAAGGGAAUUAGGGCUUAGGAAAUUAGAAAUGAAAUGCAGGAAAAGCUUUUCUAAUAUUAAAGACCAUCAAAAAAUUAUUCUAAAAUAAAAGUAUAUUUUAGGGAUGGUUUUUGUUAGUAACCGUCAAAAUAUUUUUUUUUUUAAAAAAGUACGUG